rnacentral:rRNA from 1 species
GAGUUUGAUCCUGGCUCAGGAUAAACGCUGGCGGCGCACAUAAGACAUGCAAGUCGAACGAAGAUCGUUACAAACUGGAGAGAAGAUUUAUCGGAUUGAAAGAUUGUAACAAUGGUCUUAGUGGCGGACUGGUGAGUAACGCGUAAGUAACCUGCCUGUUAGAGGGGAAUAACAAUGAGAAAUCAUUGCUAAUACCGCAUAUGCCAUAGGUAUCACAUGAUACUAGUGGGAAAGGAGUAAUUCGCUAACAGAUGGACUUGCGUCUGAUUAGAUAGUUGGUGGGGUAACGGCCUACCAAGUCGACGAUCAGUAGCCGGACUGAGAGGUUGAACGGCCACAUUGGGACUGAGAUACGGCCCAGACUCCUACGGGAGGCAGCAGUCGGGAAUAUUGCGCAAUGGAGGAAACUCUGACGCAGUGACGCCGCGUAUAGGAAGAAGGUUUUCGGAUUGUAAACUAUUGUCGUUAGGGAAGAGAAAGGACAGUACCUAAGGAGGAAGCUCCGGCUAACUACGUGCCAGCAGCCGCGGUAAUACGUAGGGAGCGAGCGUUAUCCGGAAUUAUUGGGUGUAAAGGGUGCGUAGACGGGAAUGCAAGUUAGUUGUGAAAUCCCUCGGCUUAACUGAGGAACUGCAACUAANACUACAUUUCUUGAGUGCAGGAGAGGUAAGUGGAAUUCCUAGUGUAGCG